CUUUACUGCAGCCUGGAAUUGUGUUCGGGCUUCGCUUGCGCAGGAUAGGUGGGAGGCACAGAAGUUCCCCUUGUGGGGGGAAUCGAGCCAACGGUGAGAUACCACUCUAGCGAGGCUAGAAUUCUAACUGAAAGCCGUUAUCCGGCUUUGGGACAGUUUCAGGCGGGCAGUUUGACUGGGGCGGUCGCCUCCUAAAUGGUAACGGAGGCGCGCAAAGGUUCCCUCAGGCUGGUUGGAAAUCAGCCACAGAGUGCAAAGGCAGAAGGGAGCUUGACUGCAAGACCUACAAGUCGAGCAGGGUGGAAACACGGUCUUAGUGAUCCGACGGUGCCGCAUGGAAGGGCCGUCGCUCAACGGAUAAAAGUUA
rnacentral:rRNA from 1 species